rnacentral:rRNA from 1 species
UACGAGUGCCUCAAGCGUUAUCCGGAAUCAUUGGGCGUAAAGGUUGUGUAGGUGGUUGUAUUAGUCUUCUGUUAAAUUCUUCGGCUUAACCGGGGCAUGCAGAGGAAACGGUACGACUAGAGGAUGCGAGGGGUCUGUGGAAUUCAUAGUGUAGCGGUAAAAAUGCGUUGAUAUUAUGGAGAACACCAAAAGCGAAGGCAGCAGACUGGAGCACUCCUGACACUGAAACAAGAAAGCGUGGUCGCGAAUGGG